rnacentral:tRNA from 2 species
GGGGCCAUAGCUCAGCUGGUAGAGCACCUGCAUGGCAUGCAGGGGGUCAGCGGUUCGAAUCCGCUUGGCUCCACUA